ensembl:lncRNA
GCUUAAGCAGGAGUCCCUGGUAGAAAGACUGAAAAAUCCCUUCCCCGCUCGAUGGUGGAUUCAUAUCCUGUGCGGCCUCUAGGAAGCGCUAGACACAUCUAUCUUGGGAGGCAUACAUUUUUACCUAGACUUUUCGUGGAAGGAAAUGGUCCCAGAAAGUUCAUGCGUCUUGCUUGGGGUAUACAGACAGCUGGAAAGUGAGCUCAGGCUUGCUUCAGAAAGUCACACAUCUUCCCAUGUCACCUGACAAUACAAGGGACUUCAAGGACAUACAGAAGAACAGAGUCCUUGGUCUCUGAAUGACCCUGUGGAAGGAUACUCACUGGCCAGAAGUAGUCCUUCCAGACUUUGAAUGACAAAUCAACUUCAUUGUGCUGGUCCACUGGGAUUUUGGAGUAAAGAUGGCAAUAUCUUCUAAUUCCACUUGGUGUUUAGGAUGCCCUUCAUAAGAAGAAACCCUGGGUCAAAGUUGAGGCUUAUGUUCUGGCUUUCCCAGCUUGAAAAGAAAGAAACUUGUAUACUGUCACCUUCCUAUUGAGGGUGCAAACUUCAUGAGUUGUGAUCCUAUCACCUGGCCCUUGAAAGAAGUCCUCUGGAAGAGCUGAGGCACAGAGAUGAUUCCCAGUGAAGCACUCAGGAAGCUGAGACAGAAGGAUAGCUACAAGUUUGAGGCCUGCCUGGUAUACACAGUGAAUGCAGUGUCUCCAAACAAACAGCUCAAAGUCGUUCAUGGAGAUGUUAUUGGAUUGCGCUGGGGACCGCAGUUCCUUGAUAAUGAGUAAUUGUUUGCUCAAGCUUUAGCCAAGUGUAAAUAUAAAUAUAACCGGGAUGGUUUACCCGUCCAUUGCCAUCCAUGCACUACUGUACCGAGUGCUGUGGCUGACGUGAGAACUGAAUGCAUGGAGCUGCAAUGGUGGACUCCAGGCCUGCUUCGUCAUCGUCAGAUAUGUCAUUUAACAGCUGAGCCUCGCUUUCCUCACAUGAAAAAUGAUUGCGAUGAUUGAUAUUUACCUCAGAGAAUUUAAAUGGGACUGCCACCGUACCUAUGGGAAAGUCACUGCUGAACUGGUGACAUUUCUGUAUAUAUGUUGAGCACAGGGUCGGUCCCUGGAACAGAGCCGUUGCAUUGCAGUUGAACUUCUAGUAGCCAAGGCAAACCUCUGGACCCUCUGUGGUAGCACCAGGAUCCACCAACAGGCAACACAAGCUGAGGCCCGGAGGCUUCUGUGGGACCAUGUAUGAUUCCACUUCAUCUCCUGCAACCCUGUUGCUCUCCAAUAUGGCAAGAGGAGCAUUGGGUCUUCCUCCUUUGUUAAGACAUUUAUACCAGUUGAGCAAGAAGUCGGUGCUAGAGCGGCAGCAGCCGGUUUGGAGCGCAGUCUCUUCCUCAUGGAACCCUGGCCGGAUCACUGGUCUUCACCACCACUGUAAACUUCUAAAUUCCCUCUUGUUAAACAAAUUAGAGUGGGUUCAAGGUUAUAUUUUGAUAUUAAUAGUUUUACCCUCAUCGCCCCGUGAUCAAAGAGAAAAGGGUGAGGGGACAACUAUCAGCUGGAACUGUAGUACACUUUCCUUCUCUUACAGACCUAGUGCUUCCAAUGCGCCCUGCCUGUCUCUCCACACUCUCAAGGUCUUCUCCACUCAUCUUCUUGGCUGUGUGGAUUUGAAAACACACAGCGUUUGUCCGUAAUCUCAUCCUCAUCCACACUGACUGUGGAUAACCGGAUGUGUUUUGUGAGGCCCCUCAGUCUCAACAUGGUUUUACAGACUCGGUCCUAAGCAGGUAUCACAUUCUUACUGACCCACAGCUGCUGUGCUACUUAGGUUUGUGUCUGUUGGAAUUCCAGGGCAAAUAUUUAUAAUUAUAUCAGCUCAGAGAGUACUUCUUCUGCAUACUUCUGAGUUCAGAACCUCAGACUUUUUUCUUAAAGCUACUCAGCGUCUCACUCAGCCAGAGGAGAA